ACGCUCGACACCUACUGGAGGCAGCAGUGGGGAAUAUUGCACAAUGGGGGAAACCCUGAUGCAGCGACGCCGCGUGAAGGAAGAAGUAUUUCGGUAUGUAAACUUCUAUCAGCAGGGAANAAAUGACGGUACCUGACUAAGAAGCCCCGGCUAACUACGUGCAGCAGCCGCGGUAAUCUGAGGCGGGCUGGCAAGGC
rnacentral:rRNA from 1 species